UACAGUAGUGCCUAGAGCACCUAACCAAGAUUGGAGCCUGAUUGUGCCGGGUGCUGUACAAACAGUGUAAAGUUGUGUCUUCACUGCCAUUAAUGAUGGUUCUGUUUAAUUUUUUACAGCAAGAGAGCUAACUCGUGUUAAUUAUCUCACUGUAAAACCACACCUUUUUCGGCAGGGAAGACAUAGUCGACAAGGCAGACUCACAGACUUCUAAAGCAAGAAGGGACCAUCGUGAUCAACGGCCUUGAGAGCGCCUGCAACUAAAAGCCAGCUUUUGAUCACCAUUACUCAGGUCAUGUAGCAUCUUACUCUGCAAAGAGCCUCAUUGAAAUAAAUGGAACUACUUGCAAGGGAUUCCAGCAAAGUGCUCUCUGGGACCCCGCCCCCAAAAUGUUUACCUCGACUUGCUCACGUGUGUGAAAAAUACAGAAUGUCUGACCUCUGUGAGGGUUUUAUCACAUGCUCGUUCACAGGGGUGAAGACAAGACUAAUGUGAGGAAGGCUAAAUAGGCAAGUGUUAUCCUCAUCUCCGAGUACCAGAUGGGAAACUGAAGCACACAUUGAUGAAAUGACUUGCCAGAGGUAUGCCUGUGGUACAGUCAGACUUUGAACCCCAGAUCUCGAGUAUGGAAGCAGUAUUUUUACCACCCGACCAUCCGUCUUUUUAAUACGGGAACAUUAAGUCUCAUCUGUAGUCUCCUCCACUAAGCUUGCCCCAGUCCUGGCCUGCAGCUGCGCUGCCUAAGAAAACUCCCACUGCCUGUGCCGUCUCCUCCUCACUUGUCUUCCCCUUCAGUCAGACUCGCGCAAUUAUCUGCCAAACCUGGUAUCCUUGGCACUCCCACUCUGCCCGCUGCCUCCUCCCCUCGCUCCUCGCACCAGAGGAACUUGCAGUUAGUACUGGGAGUGCGUUUGCUAGUGGAGGAGGCGGAUCAAGGUGGUGGAGGCUCCUUUCAAAGGGAAGCUGAAGAGGUUUGGAGGAGAGGCGGGCCUGACUGCAGGCUUCCCCAGAACGUCUUAAUAGUGUCACUUUCACACAUCACUUGAAAGCCGCCUGACAACGUUCUCUCUUUAGGAAAGAAAAUAUUGUACAAGUUAAUAGCCCUUCAGGCACAGACGCACGCAGGCCCUUUGCACUCGAGCCCUGGCGGUGUUUUUCUUCUGCUUGUUCUCAAUGUCUUUUCAAAGCAUUGCGGCCUGUGCAGGAGCUGUGGUCCUCAAGACUGUGCCUUUGAGGGUUGAUCUUCCCAAACAGGGAAUCUAGAGUCAUAAACUGAACCCAGAUCACUGCUUUGCACUGGAUUCCCCACCGGCAGCACUGCUGCUAUUCUCACACUAGGCUGCCCACCGAUAACCCUUCCAUCCACCGGAGUUAGGCACCGGUACCAGUGGGGCUUUGAGGGAAUCCCUUUGAGGAUCUGGCUGGAGUGAUCACUGAGCCCGCAGGAAUGAUCAAGGCAGAGCAAUAUGCAGGAGAGAUGUUCUAGGGAGCCCUGAACUAUGAGAGGUUCAUGCCCAGCUUCCCCCGUGUGCUUUGCUGGAGAUGGAUCCCUGCCAGGCCUUUCUCUCUGGACGGCAGCGGGCGGGGAUGAUGCACCAUUUCACUGGCGUGGACUAGCGGCGAGAAGCAGGAACUCAGUAUCAUCCAAUGGUAUUCGUCCUGCAGGACAUGAGGCAUGUUGAAACUCAGGCACUCUCCUCAAUGGGGACCACCUCCCUCUUCCCUGCCUGCACCUUUCUGUCCAGCCAGUGCUUGAUAUUUGAAUCUAAAGGUUAGAUACGUGUGGCCACGAGGAUAAAAGGCCACAAUCAA